UACGUAGGGUGCAAGCGUUGUCCGGAAUUAUUGGGCGUAAAGAGCUCGUAGGCGGUCUGUCGCGUCGGACGUGAAAAUCCAGGGCUCAACCCUGGACCUGCGUUCGAUACGGGCAGACUAGAGUUCGGUAGGGGAGACUGGAAUUCCUGGUGUAGCGGUGAAAUGCGCAGAUAUCAAGUGGAACACCAGUGGCGAAGGCGAGUCUCUGGAUAUUUCCUGACGCUGAGGCACGAAAGCCAGGGGAGCAAACGGG
rnacentral:rRNA from 1 species